rnacentral:rRNA from 1 species
AGCAGUAGCCACGGGAAUACGAAGGGUGCAAGCGUUAAUCGGAAUUACUGGCCGUAAAGCGUGCGUAGGCGGUGAGUUAAGUCUGCUGUGAAAUCCCCGGGCUCAACCUGGGAAUGGCAGUGGAUACUGGCUCGCUAGAGUGUGUCAGAGGAUGGUGGAAUUCCCGGUGUAGCGGUGAAAUGCGUAGAGAUCGGGAGGAACAUCAGUGGCGAAGGCGGCCAUCUGGGACAACACUGACGCUGAGGCACGAAAGCGUGGGGAGCAAACAGGAUUAGAUACCCCCGUAGUCCCUGUCUCUUAUAC